rnacentral:rRNA from 1 species
GACGAACGCUGGCGGCGUGCUUAACACAUGCAAGUCGAACGGAAAGGCCCUGCUUUUGUGGGGUGCUCGAGUGGCGAACGGGUGAGUAACACGUGAGUAACCUGCCCUUGACUUUGGGAUAACUUCAGGAAACUGGGGCUAAUACCGGAUAGGAGCUCCUGCUGCAUGGUGGGGGUUGGAAAGUUUCGGCGGUUGGGGAUGGACUCGCGGCUUAUCAGCUUGUUGGGGGGGUAGUGGCUUACAAAGGCUUUGACGGGUAGCCGGCCUGAGAGGGUGACCGGCCACCUUGGGACUGCGAUACGGCCCAGACUCCUACGGGACGCAGCAGUGGGGAAUAUUGCACAAUGGGCGGACGCCUGAUGCAGCAACGCCGCGUGCGGGAUGACGGCCUUCGGGUUGUAAACCGCUUUCGCCUGUGCCGAAGCGUGAGUGACGGUAAUGGGUAAAGAAGCACCGGCUAACUACGUG